CCUACGGGAGGCAGCAGUGGGGAAUUUUGGACAAUGGGCGAAAGCCUGAUCCAGCAAUGCCGCGUGAGUGAAGAAGGCCUUCGGGUUGUAAAGCUCUUUUGUCAGGGAAGAAACGGUGAGGGCUAAUAUCCCUUGCUAAUGACGGUACCUGAAGAAUAAGCACCGGCUAACUACGUGCCAGCAGCCGCGGUAAUACGUAGGGUGCAAGCGUUAAUCGGAAUUACUGGGCGUAAAGCGUGCGCAGGCGGUUUUGUAAGUCUGUCGUGAAAUCCCCGGGCUCAACCUGGGAAUUGCGAUGGAGACUGCAAGGCUAGAAUCUGGCAGAGGGGGGUAGAAUUCCACGUGUAGCAGUGAAAUGCGUAGAGAUGUGGAGGAACACCGAUGGCGAAGGCAGCCCCCUGGGUCAAGAUUGACGCUCAUGCACGAAAGCGUGGGGAGCAAACAGGAUUAGAUACCCUGGUAGUCCACGCCCUAAACGAUGUCUACUAGUUGUCGGGUUUUAAUUAACUUGGUAACGCAGCUAACGCGUGAAGUAGACCGCCUGGGGAGUACGGUCGCAAGAUUAAAACUCAAAGGAAUUAGACGG
rnacentral:rRNA from 1 species